rnacentral:rRNA from 1 species
CCAGACUCCUACGGGAGGCAGCAGUGGGAAUAUUGCACAAUGGGGGAAACCCUGAUGCAGCGACGCCGCGUGAGUGAAGAAGUAUUUCGGUAUGUAAAGCUCUAUCAGCAGGGAAGAAAAUGACGGUACCUGACUAAGAAGCCCCGGCUAACUACGUGCCAGCAGCCGCGGUAAUACGUAGGGGGCAAGCGUUAUCCGGAUUUACUGGGUGUAAAGGGAGCGUAGACGGUAGAGCAAGUCUGAUGUGAAAUACCGGGGCUCAACCCCGGGGCUGCAUUGGAAACUGGCAGGCUGGAGUGUCGGAGAGGCAGGCGGAAUUCCUAGUGUAGCGGUGAAAUGCGUAGAUAUUAGGAGGAACACCAGUGGCGAAGGCGGCUUACUGGACUGUAACUGACGUUGAGACUCGAAAGCGUGGGGAGCAAACAGGAUUAGAUACCCCUGUA